GAAGCCCAGCUUGCUGGGUGGAUUAGUGGCGAACGGGUGAGUAACACGUGAGUAACCUGCCCUUGACUCUGGGAUAAGCCUGGGAAACUGGGUCUAAUACUGGAUAUGACUUCUUGCCGCAUGGUGGGAGGUGGAAAGAUUUAUUGGUCUUGGAUGGACUCGCGGCCUAUCAGCUUGUUGGUGAGGUAAUGGCUCACCAAGGCGACGACGGGUAGCCGGCCUGAGAGGGUGACCGGCCACACUGGGACUGAGACACGGCCCAGACUCCUACGGGAGGCAGCAGUGGGGAAUAUUGCACAAUGGGCGCAAGCCUGAUGCAGCGACGCCGCGUGAGGGAUGACGGCCUUCGGGUUGUAAACCUCUUUCAGCAGGGAAGAAGCGAAAGUGACGGUACCUGCAGAAGAAGCGCCGGCUAACUACGUGCCAGCAGCCGCGGUAAUACGUAGGGCGCGAGCGUUAUCCGGAAUUAUUGGGCGUAAAGAGCUCGUAGGCGGUUUGUCGCGUCUGCCGUGAAAGUCCGGGGCUUAACUCCGGAUCUGCGGUGGGUACGGGCAGACUAGAGUGCAGUAGGGGAGACUGGAAUUCCUGGUGUAGCGGUGAAAUGCGCAGAUAUCAGGAGGAACACCGAUGGCGAAGGCAGGUCUCUGGGCUGUAACUGACGCUGAGGAGCGAAAGCAUGGGGAGCGAACAGGAUUAGAUACCCUGGUAGUCCAUGCCGUAAACGUUGGGCACUAGGUGUGGGGGACAUU
rnacentral:rRNA from 1 species